GUGUCAGCCGCCGCGGUAAUACGUAGGGGGCGAGCGUUAUCCGGAUUCACUGGGCGUAAAGGGCGCGUAGGCGGUUCCGUAAGUCAGGCGUGAAAGCUCACGGCUCAACUGUGGACGUGCGUCUGAUACUGCGGUGACUUGAGGUCGGUAGAGGUAAGUGGAACUAGCGGUGUAGCGGUGAAAUGCGCAGAUAUCGCUAGGAACGCCGGUGGCGAAGGCGACUUGCUGGGCCGUACCUGACGCUGAUGCGCGAAAGCUAGGGGAGCGAACCGGAUUAGAAACCCUCGUAGUCC
rnacentral:rRNA from 1 species